CCUGGCCAAGAGGGCAAAGAAACUAAGCGCAUACGGGCCGUCACCGAGGAUGACGGCUCAAAAACACAUCCACCCAAAGGGAAGAAAAGUGCAAGAAACGCAAAGGCUUCGAUGCAGAACUUGUGGGACACCAGCCGAAGGCCGUGAAAAAAUUCCGAUAUGGUUAUGUAGCAAGAGGGGUAAAGGAAGGGGCAAAAAGAAGUGGUCUUUGAGUUGUAAACUUGCUUUGAAAAGCUUCUUACAUCAGUAAUGGUACAGACUGAUUUGAAAAGAGUCAAGAAAAUUCAGCAUCAUUCCACUCUGCAAAUGUUGGUGACUAACGGAACUGACCGGCGCAACUUCCCGUGGAAGUCGUCUAAGGGAUUUGCAAGCGUAGAGCUUCAUAGCCUUCCUACAAGGAAAAAGUACAGAUGGGUCUGGUCAAGAGCAAAGGUCCUGUAAAAAAAUUCAAGUCGAAGAGUCGAUACAGGAGAAAAUAAUUAUGAAACUACAGAACUGGUCUGCAUUUGGAGCAAUUGCGAAUUGUGAAUAGACUCCUGCGAGAAAAUGUGUGGUGCAGAGUCAAUAAAAUACCUAGAUGGCUUCACACAAACACAA